ensembl:misc_RNA Metazoa_SRP Metazoan signal recognition particle RNA
GCCAGGCGUGGUGGUGCGUGCCUGUAAUCCCAGCUACUUGGGAGGCUGAGGCAGGAUAAUCACUUGAGCUCAGGAGGUGGAGGUUGCAGUGAGCCGAGAUUGUGCCACUGCACUCCAGCCUGGGCAACAGAGUGAGACUCUGUCUUUA